rnacentral:rRNA from 1 species
UUAACUAAAGAUUUAAUUUUGAUCUUUUUAUUAAAUAUAAUAAUAUACAUAUAUAAAUUUAUUAAAAAUUCUAGUACAAGUAAUUUAUUAGUGUUUAAUAUUUAUUAUUUUUAAGUAAUUAAAAUAAUUUUUAUUUUUUCAAAUAUUUGUGCCAGAAGUUUCGGUUAAACAAACAAUUUAUUAAUACAUUUAAUUUAUUAAAAAUUUAUUAAUUUAGUUAGAAAAAAUAAAAAUUUUAAUGAUAAAAUAAAAAUAAAAAAUAAUUUCUAUAAUAUUUAAGUUUAAAAAAUAAAAAUUUAAGGACUAGGAUUAGAUACCCUAUUAAAAAUUAUAAAUAAAAUAUAUUAAAUUAUUAAAAUUUAAAUAUUUAAAAUUAAAAAUUAUGGCGGUAUAAUAACUUAUUAGGGAAUUUUGUUUAUAAAUUGAUAAUACCCAAAAUACCUUACUUUAUUUAUAUUAUUUAUUUAUUUCCGUUUUAAAAAUUAAUAUUAUAUUUAAUUUAAAAAAAAAUAGGUACUUUUAUAAAUUCAGGUCAAUAUAUAGUUUAUAAUAAAGCUUAAAUGAAGUGCAUUAAUUAAAUUUAAUUUUAUUAUAAAAUUUCAAAAUAAUAAUUAAAAGAACUUAAAAGUAAUAAAGUAUUAGAAAUACUAAAUGAAUAAGAUAUUUUAUGUGUACAAAUCGCCCGUCAUUCUUAUAAAUUUAGACAAGUCGUAACAUAGUAAAUGUAUUGGAAAAUGUAUUUAGAUAA